rnacentral:rRNA from 1 species
UGGGGAAUAUUGGACAAUGGGCGAAAGCCUGAUCCAGCCAUGCCGCGUGAGUGAAGAAGGCCUUCGGGUUGUAAAGCUCUUUUGGCGGGGACGAUAAUGACGGUACCCGCAGAAUAAGCUCCGGCUAACUUCGUGCCAGCAGCCGCGGUAAUACGAAGGGAGCUAGCGUUGUUCGGAAUCACUGGGCGUAAAGCGCACGUAGGCGGACUUGUCAGUCAGGGGUGAAAUCCUGAGGCUCAACCUCAGAACUGCCUCCGAUACAGCAAGUCUUGAGUCCGGGAGAGGUGAGUGGAAUUCCUAGUGUAGAGGUGAAAUUCGUAGAUAUUAGGAAGAACACCAGUGGCGAAGGCGGCUCACUGGCCCGGUACUGACGCUGAGGUGCGAAAGCGUGGGGAGCAAACAGG